GGUUUUCGGACCUAGAGACCGGCGCACGGGUGCGUAACGCGUAUGCAAUCUACCUUUUACAGAGGGAUAGCCCAGAGAAAUUUGGAUUAAUACCUCAUAGUAUUAUUGAAUGGCAUCAUUUAAUAAUUAAAGUCACAACGGUAAAAGAUGAGCAUGCGUCCCAUUAGCUUGUUGGUAAGGUAACGGCUUACCAAGGCAACGAUGGGUAGGGGUCCUGAGAGGGAGAUCCCCCACACUGGUACUGAGACACGGACCAGACUCCUACGGGAGGCAGCAGUGAGGAAUAUUGGUCAAUGGGCGCAAGCCUGAACCAGCCAUGCCGCGUGCAGGAUGAAGCAUCUAUGGUGUGUAAACUGCUUUUGUACGAGAAGAAACACUCCUACGUGUAGGAGCUUGACGGUAUCGUAAGAAUAAGGACCGGCUAACUCCGUGCCAGCAGCCGCGGUAAUACGGAGGGUCCAAGCGUUAUCCGGAAUCAUUGGGUUUAAAGGGUCCGUAGGCGGUUUUGUAAGUCAGUGGUGAAAGCCCAUCGCUCAACGGUGGAACGGCCAUUGAUACUGCAAGACUUGAAUUAUUGGGAAGCAACUAGAAUAUGUAGUGUAGCGGUGAAAUGCUUAGAGAUUACAUGGAAUACCAAUUGCGAAGGCAGGUUGCUACCAAUACAUUGACGCUGAUGGACGAAAGCGUGGGGAGCGAACAGGAUUAGAUACCCUGGUAGUCCACGCCGUAAACGAUGGAUACUAGCUGUUCGGAGCAAUCUGAGUGGCUAAGCGAAAGUGAUAAGUAUCCCACCUGGGGAGUACGUUCGCCAGAAUGAAACUCAAAGGAAUUGACGGG
rnacentral:rRNA from 1 species